rnacentral:rRNA from 1 species
CCCUUAGAUGUCCGGGGCCGCACGCGCGCUACACUGAAGGAAUCAGCGUGGCUUUCUCCCUGACCCGAAAGGGUUGGAAACCCGUUGAAUCUCCUUCGUGAUAGGGAUUGGGGCUUGAAAUUGUUCCCCAUGAACGAGGAAUUCCCAGUAAGCGCGAGUCAUAAGCUCGCGUUGAUUACGUCCCUGCCCUUUGUACACACCGCCCGUCGCUACUACCGAUUGAACGGUUUAGUGAGGGCCUCGGAUUGGUCUCGGCCCGCUCUUUACCGGGCGGCGCCGUUGGUCGAGAAGACGCUCGAACUUGAUCGUUUAGAGGAAGUAAAAGUCGUAACA